GCUAAAAUCGAAAAAAAAAAAAGAAGCUCUUGGCCUUUCCCCCCCUUUUUUUUAACGAGACAAGAGGAAACUGCAGAAUAUCUCCCGCACGCAGCCCUUAACAAGCCGCCACGGGCGCAAAGGCUACGCCGACAGAAUUUGUCACUUUGCAGCCUCCGUCUUUUUUUUUUUUACAAUCGAUACGGUUGCAUGGGCACAACGUAAGAUGGGUUUUGGAACGGUUCCCAAUAAAUGUACGACUUUCCCCUCUGUUCCAGUUGUUGCUAGCAAAAGCCAGGAGCUACACUGCCUUUCUUCGGAACUAUCCUUGACUCGUUUGAUUGUAUGAAAAAUCGAGAGCGAGGCGGACAAGAAAAACCAAGAAUGGAGUGAGAGAAAAUGACGUCUCUGACGAUGAUGAUGUUCAACAGCCAUGAAAGAAAGUAGUACCAAAACAACGUUCUCCUCUUGUCCUUGCUUUAUUGUAAUGCCAUUUUUUUUAUUUUAUUUUGCCAAAAUAAAAGAAUUUUGGGCCAAUUCCCGCAGGCUGGGAAAAGAUUUCACUUUCGGGUCCAGUCACGGAUCAAAAUUUUUUUUUUUUACAAAAUACAAAUAAGAAAAAGAUCCGAAAUAUACGCCAAUGAUUUCAAACGUUGCCGAAUAAAAUCCUUCCAUUCAGCUUCACUUCCUGCGUAAUACCCUGAACACCCUGUCCCGUUCUCGCCUGGAUUUUUGAUUUUUCCCUGGACCUUUUUUUUUUCCAAAUCACAAGCAUCGGCGAAACAUUCGCAGUUCGUGCGACUAAAACUGUACUCUGAGACAACGACCCUUUCUUUUUUUAAAUCGCCAUCCGUCGACUAAGAUGGAGAAGAGUCAACGACCCGAGUUGUUGACCAUUUUCCGCCAACACGAUGCGUUCACUAUACACACGGAGAGAUGCAAUAAGCAGGCGGGUUGCCACGUGAGAGCUGCAGCAAAUGGCGGAGCUCCCGAAAAUGGGAUCAAGUGGAUCAAAUUGCAUGUAUUCUACUCGAUCUGUCUAUCUCAUCUUGCUCUGUCGUUCUAUUUACUCGCUUUUCGUCUUUGCCCUUCUCUUCUUUCAAUUAUUACGAUGACAUUCGGUUGAUGCCCUUUCGUUGACUGAAAAACCACUAGACUUUAGCUACGCAGCAGGCAAAACGUUUUUAUAACGAAACACCACAUUUUCACUGUUAAAUUGUGCACCUGACUUGGGUGAAUGUCUCGUGUGGACUGGAUUUUGCAUGGGUGCACGAUUGCAGCAAUUCGUGUCCUCAUUGCCAAGUUUACAGAAAAUCGACGAAAUUCAUCAAGUUUAGCCCUUAGGUGGUGGACACCUGCUCACAAAGAGAGGCAGGGACUUGGGACAAUUUGUUUAGGAUAAAGAAUUCAAUAUGGAUUUUGUUUGUUUGCUUCCUUUCUUACCAGUCGCCAAGCUACAAAUUUCCUUACAAAUAUCUCAUGUUUGAAAAAUAAGCUGCAAACAUGGCCCCCGACCGAUUAUGAGACCAUCAGCAUGACGUCAUUACGUCUAUUCAUUUUUAUGGGUGGUCGUUAACCGUCCCAUUUAACGCUUGGGCAGCAAAGAUCGAGACGAUCUUUAAAACGUCAAAAACUGUUUUGUUUGUUAAAAAUUGAGGGCUUAAUAAAACAUGAAGAUUGACAAGGUAAUUCAUAUUGUUUUAUAAAAUCAACAGUAUACAUGGCAGGUGGUGAUGAUACAAAGAAAAUCAACUCUUGGAUUUGCAUUUCAAUCCUCAGGCCAUUUGCGAAUGUCGUUUCCAGUUUCCGUGAAGAAAAACAAAAAAAGGAUCAGACGAAUUUAAAAUGUUUAUCAUAUAACACGAUAGCGGGAAAAGAGAGAAGAGAAUGAAAGAAGAAACAAAACGAAUCCGCCCAUAUAAAAAUGCGAUAUCAUCACGAUGGCCGGAAGAUAACAGGAGACAAGAAAACGGGAAAACAAAUCAAAUUAAAUCGAAUGAAAAUGUGGGAGAUCGCGAAGUCAAAACUUGUCGUGAGUUAUAUGCAAACUCAACCGUUCCAUUUUUCUUUCCACCCCCCGCCUUUCGUUAUUGUACACACAAGGGGCACACACAUGAGAGCAUAAAAACAUUAUAUCUUUUAUCAAUAUAAUUUGUAAGUAUGUUCGAUACGAUGUGUACAGGAUUAUAGAUUGUAAUUAUUGAAGAAAAUAAAAACAAAAACAUGAUUCGAUAGUGAGGAUGCGCACCGGGCACAUCCAUUUAAAGAGUCGGGCCGAAAAAAAAAGAAACCCCUAGAAAAAGGUGUAAAAUUUUUUUUGUUUUAAUUCUAGUCUAGCACGGAAAAUUCUGUUUCAGUCUCCAAUAGAAAAUUGAAUUGAUGUGAAAAAAAAAAAAAAUAGAGACUCGAAUGAAACAAAUGAACAUUCGACCCAACGUGAAUUAUCGCUAUUUGUUUUCUCAAUGAACAAGCGAAAAUCAUUCGAGUUUUCAGUUAUUCGUUUUGU
rnacentral:lncRNA from 1 species